CUGGGAUUAGUUUUUGUAGCCAUGGCUGGCCCAUCAAACUCUGAGCCCUUGAUGUGGCUGUGCGAAGGUUCUUGGGGCCUUGGCAAAAUGCCUGGAUACCUCUUGGCCCUUUCAAGGACUGGAGAGAUCAUGGUCACAGGCCUUGGGAGAGAGGCCCCAGGGCCAGCUGGUCAAAGGAGAGGCGCUUGCCCCCAGCAUUGAGGAUGCGGUCCUGGGUGUGGCUGCCCGCCUGCACCCCCACAGAGCACACACCUGUGGUUUGGGUACCACCUGGACACACACAUCAUGUGUUAAAAUCUCUACAACCACAGCUAUUUUGCUCUCCUGGCCAGGAUGCUUCAUCUUCCGGGUCAUCCAGAAAAGGAACGGAGGUGGCCGGUUUCUUCACCAACUGGCUGGCAUCCAACUUUGUCAGAGUUGAAACAUCAGACAGCUAGAAAAGAGGUUCUCAGUUGAUAAAUAUUUGAUUUACAAGUGGCCAGUGGAUACCUAACUUUAUCAUCCUGGUUGCACUGAGGAUUGUUCCAGGCUGAGCAGACAACUAAACAAAACGAGGAAUACUGGGAUGCUCUGGUUCCACAACAGAAAUACAGCUGAAGGGGAUAUUCUUAGAUUUUUCUUUUCUUCUUUGCUAUAACCUGUGAUAAAUAUUGUAUAUCUCAGCAACAUAAGGAAAAAAUGAUUGAUCCUUUCUCAGUGAUAUAGAUAUGUGGCUGUAUAUGUUAUAUGCAGAGUGAAUGAUUGAGAGAGAACAGGAGAGAGGGGCAAAGAGAGAAAUACAAGGCACUAUGAACAGAAUUGCUAAUAGCAAUCUAUGAAAGGCAUGUCAGGAGUGCUGGAGG
ensembl:lncRNA